UGUUUCCUUUGUCUAGAGCAUGAAGCAAUCAGGCAUGAAAAAGAUGUUCCAACUACAAAACCAGUCAAACUGAAAACAACUGCAAAGCCAACAGGUGAAAUUCCAAUAACAGCCCUGAAAAAAACAAAGACUUCUAAGGAAAAAGAAGACAAAACAACUGAGAAGAAACAUCUGAAAGAUGAAAAACACAAAGGUGUUCCACCAGUAAAAGAAGUUCCACGACAUCACAACCUGACAUCAGCUCCUGUCCGCUACUUUCAAUGUGUCUUCAUAAAUGGACCUAAUGGAUUUGGACUGCAGUUUCCCACUAAUCCCCCUUCAGACAAAGAAGAAAAGAUUCACUCAAAGACUUCCAAGAGAAAGACGAGAAAACCAGGACAGUAGAGAGACUGAGUUACUGGAUCACUCACAUUUGCACUUUAUCUUUUCUGCUGAGGUCCACAGUACUUAGGGUGGUACUUGUCAUUGCAUGAAUGUGAUCCACUUGGAUACAUGCACCUGGAAAAGUUUCCAUGGGGCAGAGGCAAAAGAAACAGUAAUGGGCUGUGUAGACAAAGGUAGAAAUGUAAAAGUGCCCUGUUUCUCGUGGAAAGCCUGCAAUGCUAGCAAUGAGUUGGCCUGAUUGCGUGUGAGCAAGUGUGUGUGUGUGAUUUCCUGCCUCUUUUGCUCUUGUUUUUCUUUACCUGCUCAGCAUUAAAGUGAGUCUGUUUUCCAUUUAAUCUUAUCUAGGGAGUGAGAGGUUGAAUGUAGCUCUUAUAUCAGCAAGAUUGCAAGACUACCUGCAAUCUUAAAUCACUUCUUCUUAAUGUUCAGUCAAAUUGCUGAGAGGAAAAAGCCUCACUAAGUCACGAAAAUGUGCUCUGCAAUUGGUGCUAUUUUUAUGUCUCAUUGACCAGUGUAGUCUGAAGCUCACACAUGCUCUCAGCAGCUCAAUAUACUAUCAGUAAGUUGACUCAUCAAGUCAUAUUAAUGAUGAAUAUUUCUAUUUAACCUGAAGCAGUUAAAAGCAUGGUGUAUUUGUCCUGUCUGCUGGUGAAGUACAAGCAGGUCACUUUCUAAAGCCCAAACUCAGCAAAGAAAGUGAAACAACAUGACAAAGAUAAGGAAAAACAGCAUUUUACGAAGGUCCCAUGAAACAACAAAAAUCAAUUUUAGUAACUAUUUUUUUUUCCUGCGGGUAAAUCAGAUUGACUUUGAUUUGCAGCAGACCAUUAGAAUGGAGAAUAUACCAGCCAACUAUUUGCUCUUAUAAUGUCAUAUGAAAAACUAUGAUGUGAAGUGUCACUCAUAAAACUAAACCAAUCCAAAUUUCCAAUAAACAAACAUGCCAAUUUGAUACA
rnacentral:lncRNA from 1 species